CACCUGCUGGUCCGACUAGUUGCAAAAAGGGUGCCUCAGUUGCUCAAAUCACUGCUUUGGAUAAGCUUUAAUCACAUGGCCCGGGUCGUAAAGAUCAUGCAACCGGUGCAGGUGCUAGGACAGGAGCUGAAUGUGUUCAAGAAC